rfam:Salmo salar isolate Sally breed double haploid chromosome ssa07, whole genome shotgun sequence.
UGCGAUCACUACUGUAAGUCGCUCUGGAUAAGAGCGUCUGCUAAAAUGACUAAUA